rnacentral:rRNA from 1 species
CCUACGGGAGGCAGCAGUGGGGGAUAUUGCACAAUGGGGGAAACCCUGAUGCAGCAACGCCGCGUGAAGGAAGACGGUUUUCGGAUUGUAAACUUCUUUUCUUAGUGAAGAAGCAAGUGACGGUAGCUAAGGAAUAAGCAUCGGCUAACUACGUGCCAGCAGCCGCGGUAAU